GACGAACGCUGGCGGCGUGCUUAACACAUGCAAGUCGAACGGAAAGGCCCUGCUUUUGUGGGGUGCUCGAGUGGCGAACGGGUGAGUAACACGUGAGUAACCUGCCCUUGACUUUGGGAUAACUUCAGGAAACUGGGGCUAAUACCGGAUAGGAGCUCCUGCUGCAUGGUGGGGGUUGGAAAGUUUCGGCGGUUGGGGAUGGACUCGCGGCUUAUCAGCUUGUUGGUGGGGUAGUGGCUUACCAAGGCUUUGACGGGUAGCCGGCCUGAGAGGGUGACCGGCCACAUUGGUACUGAGAUACGGCCCAGUAUACUACGGGAGGCAGCAGUGGGGAAUAUUGCACAAUGGGCGGAAGCCUGAUGCAGCAACGCCGCGGGCGGGAUGACGGCCUUCGGGUUGUAAACCGCUUUCGCCUGUGACGAAGCGUGAGUGACGGUAAUGAGUAAAGAAGCACCGGCUAACUACGGG
rnacentral:rRNA from 1 species